rnacentral:rRNA from 1 species
CCUACGGGUGGCAGCAGUAGGGAAUAUUGCUCAAUGGGGGAAACCCUGAAGCAGCAACGCCGCGUGGAGGAUGAAGGUUUUCGGAUUGUAAACUCCUUUUGUUAGAGAAGAUAAUGACGGUAUCUAACGAAUAAGCACCGGCUAACUCCGUGCCAGCAGCCGCGGUAAUACGGAGGUUGCAAGCGUUACUCGGAAUCACUGGGCGUAAAGAGCGCGUAGGCGGGAUAGCAAGUCAGAUGUGAAAUCCUAUGGCUUAACCAGAGAACUGCAUUUGACACUGUUAUACUAGAGUAUGGGAGAGGUAGGCGGAAUUCUCGGUGUAGGAGUAAAAUCCGUAGAGAUCGAGAGGAACACUCGUGGCGAAGGCGAGUUGCUAGAACAUAACUGACGCUGAGGCGCGAAGGCGUGGGGAGCAAACGGGAUUAGAUACCCGGGUAGUC